CCUACGGGAGGCAGCCAGUGGGGAAUAUUGCCCAAUGGGGGAAACCCUGACGCAGCGACGCCGCGUGGAUGAUGAAGGCCUUUGGGUUGUAAAAUCCUGUUUUGGGGGAAGAAACCUUAAGGGUCCAAUAAACCCUUAAACUGACGUACCCCAAGAGAAAGCUCCGG
rnacentral:rRNA from 1 species